rnacentral:rRNA from 1 species
GGUAAGUCAGGGCCCGGAGGCGGGGGAAUGCGGAGGUGGGAGGCGUGAAAGGGACUUUCUGGGCGUAAAUGGCGGGUAGGUGGGUAGGUAAGCGAGAGGUGAAAGCCCCGGGCUUAACCUGGGAACGGCAUUUCGAACUGGCUGACUAGAGUAUGGUAGAGGGUAGUGGAAUUUCCUGUGUAGCGGUGAAAUGCGUAGAUAUAGGAAGGAACACCAGUGGCGAAGGCGGCUACCUGGACCAAUACUGACACUGAGGUGCGAAAGCGUGGGGAGCAAACAGGAUUAGAUACCCGUGUAGUC